rnacentral:tRNA from 1 species
GAAAACAAAAGUUUAUUCUUGGCCCGCUAAGCCUAAGAAUCUGCAGUUAAAUUCUGUGGUGUUUUCG